rnacentral:tRNA from 1 species
CGUCGUAUAGUAUAAGUCAGUACAAAAGAUUGUAAAUCUUUAGGAGCGUAAAUAAUGCUGCGAUGU